GCUUCACAUUCAGAGUGGAUUGAAAGUAUCUCCUAAUUGCAUGCCAUUAAAUUCUCAGUGCUGUGCACACGCUGUAGUAAUAGAUACUGUGCAAGCACAAAAGGGUGGGAAUCAGACACCUUUCUAGGAUACCUUUAACUUUAAUGAUAAAUGUAUAAUUUAAAGUUUAAAGGUAUCAGCUGGAAAACAAUAGGUAAAAUAUUCUGUUUACCAAAAGCUUACAUUCUUCUAUCAAGAGUUUGUGUUUUUUUCCAAGGUUCUUACGUUUGCAUGCAGGAUUUCUCUGAGAUAAAUACAAAGUACCUCCAUGGUGAGAGCAAUGUGCCAAGCAUGUGCUGGUUUUACUGUGCCUUUGCAUGGAUCUGCAGCACACUUAGGCUGCUUCUGGGCAGUGCAUUUGCAGUGGUCUGACGUGUUCAGAUCAUGAGAAUAACUUGAAUCUUGGAAUUACGGAGCUGACUGACACAUGCUCUGUAGCCGUUUAUCUGGGAUUUUCAGGCAUCCUGCAUCAUUGCUUUGGAUGUAGUCUGUACAUAUGCAGAGAUGCAGAUUGUCUUUUGGAUGUAUUGGAUUUACUGUCCGCUUGCACGUUAACUCUGUGUGUAAAACUGUAGCUCUGAGCUGGCUUUUAGACUUUCAGAAAUCUUGGGGCAAUGGGCAAAGUCCUUGUAUUUUUUUCUCCCAAUAAAAGAUCUAGGUGGAAAUAACGAGUAUGCCUUGAGAUAACGGAAUGUGAGAGAGUAGAUCUGAAAUUCCAUUCUUCAGAGAGGAGAUCUAUAUAAGUGUUGGAUAACUCACAAAUAUUAGAUGAAGGAACAACACAAGAAGUUGUAAAUAUACUUAUUUAUUGCUCCACAAGUUAAGAAACACCUUCAUUAUCAAGAAUGAACCACUUAAACUUAGAAUUUUCUGCAACUUGAGCAUGAAGUGGAAACAGAGAGUGCUUUUUCACUCCAGUGAGACUGUGGUUAGAUGUAUCAUCCUUGGCUAUUGUUGCCAGAUUGUGGUAAAACGUAGGAGCUACUACAUUUGACCAUCAAGAUGUGUGUGUGGGGAAAUGAAAUGAAUGUGAAGAAGAACUCGUGGUUUAUUUUUAUUUUUUUUCUUUUUCCUCAUUCUUGGAGGCAUUCAGUAUAUGACAUGACUUUCAAGCUAUGUGUCAUUCAGCUUCUACUUUUCCUUAGUGAGAUUCACUGAGGCAUUGACGUUCAAGUUACCGGAGUCCUAACGCAUUUGCUGCAUUAAAUUUUGCCAAUUUUGAGCUCUGAUGCAUUUGUUUUCAAAUAGUUAUCGAAGGCAGUCUGAGAAUCAGUCUGGUAUACGUACGAGAAAGGAUAGAGGAGUCAGGGGCAUCGUGUUGGAGCCUUAUAUUUCUACAAUCUCAUUUAGUUUUGGAGCACUUUCCUGUGGGAAAUGCAUUUAUUCUCACUUAAGUGAGGAACUGAGUGCAGUUUGCCCAAGGUAACGUGGGGUGUUUGUGGCAGACCAAGUAAGUGAGCACAAGUCUCUCAAAAUCAAUUCCUUAACCAUGCAGCCAACAUACCUGUUUGCUCAGCUGCCCUGUCAGAGCACCUUUAGUCUCUACCAGCAAUGAUCUCAGCCCCAGCAUGUUAGAAGCACAGUAUCCCACUGCUGUAAGACUCUAUACUUGAGUGUCUUCUGGCCAAAGUCUGUCUGAGGAGAGGCGCUACGGGAGCACAGCUGGUGUGGGAACAAAGGACAACUCACUUCUGCUCUGCAUUCAGAGGGGAGAGAAGAAAAAUAAACAAUAACGUCUCUAUAUUAGUGAGUCCCAGACAGAAGAAAACAACUGCUAAAGCAAACUAAACUUAUAGAAUGAGCUUCAGACAGCUUAUAAUGUCUUCAGUUGAUGUUUGCUUUAUUAAAUAAAAACAAGUAAUAAAUACUGUGCAAAGUGACAGUCACUUCAGGUAUUAAAACGUCUGAGUGCUAUAAAUUUACUCUCAGCUUUGCACUGUUGAAGUGACAUGAAUUUAUUUUCGUUGAUUCACUUUUUUCUUCUAAUUCAGAAGAGUAAUGGAUGAAAAAGAAAUGAAGACAGUUAGGCCUGAAGCAGUAUGACAGAUCCUUGUUUUAAUAUUGGUCUUACCUUGCAUUCUCAUGCAAGCACAGCAGUUUGAGCUGUCCUUCUCAUGCACCAUGCAGUAACCAAGCAGUUUGACUAAGGUACGACUGAUGAAAAAGACACAUGGAGGGUGUUUGGAGCUGGGGUCUGCCCCUAAGCCAUGGAGCACAAACCUUUCUUCCUCUGUAGAAGUGCAAUAACCCAUAAGUAGUUAGAUGAUAAAUUCUGUUUCAUCUUGUCUUGGUGCAAAAGUUAGUAUUUUGAUACGUUUGCUCUUCUGGUUCACCAUUACUUUGUCCCAGUUCCCUUGGUUUGGGAAGUUGGGGAAACCAAGCAAAAGUAGAAAUAAGAAAGAACAUGGUGAGGAUUGCCUGUAAAGCAUGACACAAGGAAUUAGAACCAUGGCAAAGUUUCUCUCUUUUCUGGAUAGCAGGCCAUUCACAACCAAGAAGGCUGUGUAUUGCUUGAAAAGAAAGCUGAGAUAAGCAACACUGUGGAAAUAUUUUUUUGUUGUUCCUGUAGGACCUUAGAUGCAAUGCUUACAGUCAGGAAGUGGGGUAUAGGAAGGUUUAUUCCUGACAGCAUGUUCAGGAUGGCACGCAAAGCUCACAAAUUCUUCUGAGAUCUGGUGGGAAAAUUCAGUGGUGGAGAGAUUUGCAAAUGAUGUGAACAUGGAUGACCUGGUCUGUGUAAAAAUACUCAAAGGCAUGGAUUUUCAUUGAGGACAAAAA